GGCUUCAGGUUUAAAGGCGCGAGCGCCACCCACGCAGGCACAAGGGCUCCUAGUCGUUUUAUUUUUAGCGUAAGGUUUUCCUCUUUAACAAGGAAGUAAAAAAAAAAGUUGUGCAAUAAAUAUUAAUCGUCCUUAUAUGUACUCGGGAACGUUCGUCCUUUAGGUUUUCUCCUGGCGCAUGGGCGCCGCCAAUCAUUUCGGGGCUUAUUUUGGUUCUAAAGCCCGGGGCAGCCAGGCCUCCCUGCCUGGCCUCGGCGGGGACGCGGGACCUGGGGCCCCGGACCGGGCCUAACCGCCCUGGCCGGUCCCCACUGAUGGUGGCGGUCGGUCCUGAUCGUCCUGAUGGCAGCGACCAGGCUGGACUCGGGCUGUGCAGGGGCGAGGGGAGCAGGGCGGGGUGACGCCCGGAGAGCGGCCUGGAGAGCGCGUGCUUCAGAAGGCGUGGGCACCCUGUCCCCUUUGCAGAUGGGGAUGCAGGCCCUGGUGGCGGUGGAGGGGAGAUGGGGGCAGGGACGUUGCCGGGCAGAGGAAGCUGGGUGAGUGUGCACUUGGUCCCCUUUGCUCCUCCCUGGGACUUUGGGCUCUAUAGGGCAGCCUCCGAGGCCCACGUGCACACUCGGUGAACCACAGUCCAGACACAGGCAGGGCGGCAGGCCAGGGAAGGAGAGGCCAGGUGUUGGUGCAUGGAGAGGCCAGGUGUUGGCCUGGGGGUGCUAAGUGAACCCCCAAGGUCGCGGAGACAGUAGGGCAACAGCAAAACGAGCUCUGCCGUCCAGGGCGAGGGCCCGGAGUCCUCCCCAGGGGUGGGCUGCAGAGAAGCCCCUGUCCAGGCCCUGCUCACCUGCAAAGUGCUCCCGAGCUCCUGUGCCCCCAGCAGCAAUCCCAGCCCCGCUGACACCCAAGCUUGUCACCCGCUGGGUUUCUUGAGGUCUGAGGACCGUGGCUGAGGGUGCAUGGGCGCUGGGAUGGAGGGGGAUGUCCUGUCCCAGUCUGUGCUUAUUAAUUGUUAAAGAGGGCAAGGCUGCUUUUAUUCAAGGUGGGGGGGCUGCUAAAGCGAGAUGUUGGGUUAGGGGAGGCAGAUCCGGCUCAACUCCAGAUAGAAAAAGUGGGAAUUGACAGCCCAGGCGUAGGGUCGGGAGUGGAGAGAAAAUUACUAAGAGGAAGGGUCAGGGGCAAGGCGGGUUCUAGCUGCAUAGACAGGAUUUUUGCUGAAAAGGCAGGCAGUGUGGUCACAGACCGAGGGUGGGAGUUGAGGACUUUGAUCAGGGACCAAGAGUAGACGAUUUUCACUAAACCGACUCAGCAGGAUUCUUGCUAAAUCGGCCGAAACCGGCCAAGGUCAGGGACUGGUCACAGGGAGGGCUCAGAGGAGCCUGACUCGAGUGUGGUCAAAGGAGAGAGUCUUUGUCAUCUUUUAAGAGGCGAGAGUGACGUAUUAGUGAGAAACGGUGAAGGGAUCAAGCUCAGGCCAGCAGCCCCGAGUUUGAGAUGAGGACAGGCUGGGUCCAGGAAGGGCUGCAGGAAUAGGGGGCACCUGAGCCUGCAGAAAGCGGGGAGCCCAGCCGCCAGAGCAGGCACCCCCAGGCAGACCUCAGUGUGUCCUGCCCUGUGGGAGUGGCAAGGCCAGACCAAGCUGGAUGUGAACCAGUCCCAGAACACCGCCUAGAAUUUGGAUUGUAAUUUGUUAUCGAUGAUAUUGCUGCUUGGUCUCUCUCCUCUUCCUCCCCACCCCCACCCAAGAUGGAGUCUGGCUUUGUCCCCCAGGCUGGAGUGCGAUGGCAGGAUCUCGGCUCACUGCAACCUCCGCCUCCUGGGUUCAAACAAUUCUCCUGCCUCAGCCUCCCAAAUAGCGGGGAUUACUGGUGCGUGCCACCACACCCAGCUAAUUUUUGUAUUUUUGGUAGAGACGGGGUUUCAUCAUGUUGGCCAGGCUAGUCUCAAACUCCUGACGUCGUGAUCCGCCCACCUCAGCCUCCCGAAAUGCUUUGGGAUUACGGGUGUGAGCCGCCGCGCCGAGCAUGGCCAUCGUGGCUACAUCAGUCCCGGCUAAUAGAGAUUUUAGCACACUCAGAUUCUAUUGGCUAAUAAGAUUUAAUUAUAAUUCUGGGGUAUUUAACAAUGUCGUUAUACAGUCUUCAUUGUUGCAAAUGGAGAAUGAAAUCGGGUGCAUGUGACACUAAUAUGACCUGUUCAUGCUCUGUCACUUAAACGGAGUUAAGUAACAUAGCCCUGAGCAGGAAGACUCCUUCCCCACUUCUGUCCAGGAGCUCCUUACUCGAUUCUGGGGAACAGAAAGGCUUUCAGCGGCCAAGGGGAGUGACAACAGCCAGACAUGAGACACCUCCUAGAGCCCUUUGGUGUUACCCUUUCCGGUCCAUCAGCCACAGUGUCCACCCCAGGUAGCUGGGUCCUGAGUUCACCGUCUCAGGACAUUUUUCGACCUGGUUUGUCUGAAUUAUUAUUAUUAUUGAUCAUUGAGACAGGGUCUCAGUCCAUCGCCAAGACUGGAGUGCAGUGGUGUGAUCCUGGCUUACUCAGCCUCCCAGGCUCAGGUGAUCCUCCCAGCUCAGCCUCCUGCGUAGCUGGGACCACAGGCAGGCACCACCAUGCCUGGCUAAAUUUUUUGUAUUUUUUGUAGAGACCAGCUCUCGCUAUGUUGUCCAGGUUGGUCUCAAACUGCUGCCUCAGCCUCCCAAGGUGCUGGGAUUACAGGCAUGAGGGACCAAGCUCAGCAAUCUGAAUUAUUUAUGCAGAAUUUUUUUUUCUCUAGCUGGAAGAGCUGUUUAUAUGCACGUUUCUUUGGGGGCAACUCUUCUCCAUUGUCACAGAUUUUUUUUUUCCAAGCCAUUCCUGGGGGAUUCCUGGGAGCCAUGUGGGAGAGGCGUGAGGAAGUGAGACCUUCACCCCGAGACAGGUCCUGACACACCCUCUGGUGCCUCUACUCAAGUGAGAAGUUUGGCUGCUGUAACUGACUGGGAAGCUUAAAAUAACAGACAAUCAUCUCUCACAUUUAUGGGGACUGGGAAGUCCAAGACCAAGUUGCCAUCUGGGGAGGGCCUGUUCCUCACAGCGCCUUCCAGCUCAGGCCUCGUUUAUAAGGGCACUCAAGCCUUCCACGACAACGGGUCCUCAUGACUUACUCACCUCGGAAAGCCCCACCCCCAAGACCAUCACAUUGUGGGUGAUGGCAGAGCAUAAGGUGCCUUCCCCACAUGCUCGGGUUGGCCCAGCGUCUCACGCUAGCAGCUACGUGGAAUAGUUAUUUUUUCUGGAGAACUCUGGGACCCCUCUGAUGUCUUGGAGCACCCACACAGGCCGUUCACUGUGCACGCUGUGAGGCUGUCGUCUUGGAGCACCCACACAGGCCGUUCACUGUGCACGUGGUGAGGCUGUCCUCUGGGGAGUUCUGCUGUUGUAUGGGUUCUGUCUGUGUCAAUGUCCCAGCGGGAACGCAGGGCACACUAGCGUCAUCCCCAGAGGGCUUGGUAAGGGGACUGUUUGCAGAGACAUAGGCAGAGGGCUGGAAAACUACCAAAAAAGUGCAGUGUUCUGGACCUAAUAAUAGCAGAGCUAUUCUCACCCUGGUCUGAAGGCAGGAGGGGAGGAGCAGUUAAUGGAUUCUGGAAGUCAGGUUGCACAGAGUCACCUUGAAAGAUGCCAUGACCUUCACCGAGGGCCAGACAGAGACUAAGAUGACCCCAUAGGAGAAUAAGACCUAGACCUCAUCCUCCUGCCUCCUGCCAGUCCCUGCCAGGGGUCGCCAAUGGCAAAACAGGACUGGAAGCCAGAGGCCAUGGAAGCCCAUGGAUGAAGUCCACAGGCCAGCCUCCCCGAGAGCAGCCUGGACGGUCCGCAGGAGACGUCUCCUGUCUUAGGCGUCCCACGCCGCGUGCUCCUGUUCAGCCCUGCCGAGGUGGAAGCUUGGAGUGGCUCACGGUGGAUGCAUUGACGCUGCAGACGCCAGCAAGUGCUACAAACCAGAGCUGGCCUUUAACUCAGACUGAUGGAGAAGGUGUUAAUAAUGCAGAUUAGACUUAAAAGUGUUGAAGCCAUUGCACUGUGAACAGCAAAAAAAUUGAAGAACUCUUCUGGCAUUUAAAAACAAUUACUCAGUUCAGCAGAGAAGUCACUGACAAACGAGAUCACACUGACUGCUUUGUCGUUUUGGUUUUGUCUUACUCAUUAAUGCAAAUAAGAACAUUCACUAGCAUCUGUGUCGGGCCUACCCUCCCUGGUCAAAUACAGCUACAGUCUCCCUGCAGAAACGAGUUUUCCAGAAAUGAGCCGAUGUUUUCUGCGAGAAUCAAUUGGUCAUAUACAAUUUACAAAAAUGAGUACUGUAUACUAUAUUUGUAAACUGUACACUGCAGAUGCUUUAUUUCACUGAAAUUUAUAAUACACUUAUCCAUGUAUAUGCAUGCAUGCAUUUUUGUUCCUGAGAUCCAGCUGUGAAAUGUUUACCAGCACAUAAAUUACCAGCACAUGCUCUUUUUUGUUAACCUACUAGGUAAAAUCUUCAUUUAUUACAUCAAAUUCUUGUAGUUUUUGUAUUGCAAUUAUGCAGAUAUUGAUUAUCGCAGUAUUACUGCAAUUAUACAGAUACCACAAUUUCAGAUAUUGAUCAGCGUGUUCAGUUGGUUUCUAAGGAGGUUUACUUACCUCAUGGUACACCUAGUUUGCAUAGUUUGAUUAUAUUUAACUCUUAUGCUAAUUGGGGGAAGUCAUUGAUUUAUUGGACAGAUGCACCUGUGGUCUUCCCUGAGCACAUCCUGGCCAAGGAUGCUGCCCCCAGGAGAUUUGAGAAGUCCUGUAAGGAUCAUAUCAGUAUUUUCAAAUACUUAUAGAAAAGCCAGAGGGAUUGACCCAGAAUUACCAAUAUAAGCUUGACCCUGAGAUAACAAUGCCAUUUUAUGUUUGCAUGCAUAAAACCAAUGCAAGAGGCUGAUGACUCCAGAUCCCUUAUAUAAGCCAAUAAAAAGUAGUUUCAUUUUUUAUUUCAUUUAAAAAA
rnacentral:lncRNA from 10 species